CAUGCAAGUCGAACGGUAACAGGAAGCAGCUUGCUGCUUUGCUGACGAGUGGCGGACGGGUGAGUAAUGUCUGGGAAACUGCCUGAUGGAGGGGGAUAACUACUGGAAACGGUGGCUAAUACCGCAUAACGUCGCAAGACCAAAGAGGGGGACCUUCGGGCCUCUUGCCAUCAGAUGUGCCCAGAUGGGAUUAGCUUGUUGGUGAGGUAACGGCUCACCAAGGCGACGAUCCCUAGCUGGUCUGAGAGGAUGACCAGCCACACUGGAACUGAGACACGGUCCAGACUCCUACGGGAGGCAGCAGUGGGGAAUAUUGCACAAUGGGCGCAAGCCUGAUGCAGCCAUGCCGCGUGUAUGAAGAAGGCCUUCGGGUUGUAAAGUACUUUCAGCGGGGAGG
rnacentral:rRNA from 1 species